AGUCCUGCUCUGCACUGCUGGCCUGCCGCUGCCCCGCCUCGGCCUCGGCUGCCUGCAGACGACUCUUCAGACGGGUGUUCUCCUCCACAGUCAAACCUGCUUUCUGGGAAGGACAACAGAACGUUCCGUGCUCCUCCUCCAGGGUUUUCUUGCUGUGCUCCAUGUCCUUCAGCAUCACCUGCCAAGAGAGGCAGCAAAUGAAGCCCAGGAGGUUUUAACAGAGGGACUCUUCUAAAGCAGCAGACAGCUGCUGCUGUCUCCCUCUCAGUGUGGCCUGCAGACAGCAGACUGACAGCAGAACUAAACUCUUUCUCUCUGAUCUGAAGCAGCGCCACGAGGACCUGUGUAAGAUUUCUGCAACAAAGCUUAGCACCAAUGGGUACUACACAAAGUCUGCCACCUAACUAAGAAGCAAAUAAGGCAGUUAGCACCAAGCUAACUGUAAGGAGAACAACAAAUGGAGUGACCGGCUUCCUCUGAUCGGAAACUGCAUAGCAAGGACUUUUCCCCGAACCACAAUUCUUUCUAGCUUGCCCCAUCUACAACAGACGGACCGCUGGCUAACAAGGAGGACUUCAAAGCAACCUUCUUUCCCUCCAUGGACUGGUAAUGUAACUGGGCAUUACAUAGUUUCACAUAGCUUAACAAUGUACUUGGCUAAGCACAGGAUUGUCUUAUUUUUGUGAAUGUAUAUGUAUUAAUUUGGUUCUUUGAGUGUUAUUGUUGUGAUGUGCUUCCCCCGUUAGGAUUUGGAAGCCACAUGCUAAGUUGAUGUUAGCUAAUGUUAUGCUUCACACAGACAGAGUCAUGCUAACUAACUUCUUUUAACUGGGCACUAUUAUCCUACACCAAUCACACACAUCCACUCUAAUCUGACCUUUAACAGAGCCACACUCUUUUCAAACAUGGUCUAGCCGCCAUUUUGAAUUAGAUUUCUUUUGUUUAAGGCCAUUUUGGAUCAAAGCAGCCAUUUUGGAUCACCCACACACCCUUUGUUUAGUGCAAUUAGAGUUAGACUUCAUAUUGUGUUUUUGCUUUGUUCAUCUUUUAAUAAAUGCUUGUGUGUAAUUAUGCUGGUUUCUUUAAUGUUGCACAAGAGUGAACUUUGCCAACCUCUUCUAUGUAGAACUCCAAAUCUUUUAAACUACUAGCUAUUAAUCAGGGCUCCAGACUAACGUUUUUCACCACCAUCCCAAAAAACAAUUUUAACUAUCCUGAAGUGAACGUAAUCUGAACUAAAAUGUUGUUCCUUUACUUUGUUAGUAUCAUCUAUAGUUGUUAGUUGCAUAAUAAAAACACCAUUAAAAUGUGAGGACAUAAAUAAUUAUAUUUAUUUUGUUCCAUUCAAAGAAAAAGGUUUGAAAGAAAAUAAACUGAAUUAAAAAAAUUAAAUAGGAUACAAUUUAGUAACACAGCAGCUGCGACCACAUGGCCCGUACAGACACAAAUCACACUGUGAACAUUACUGGCCAUGCUGGCAAUUAUUUGCAAACUAGGAAAGCUGCCAUGGCUUUUGCCCUGCAGGCCGACAUUGUUGUUUGUUUUGUCAGCUGACAGUUACAUGGUUGCUGCCGCUGGCUGACAGGUUACACUCCAUUUAAACCGUUUUCCCGGCCCUCACCGUUAAGCGGUGCACCGGUGCACUGAAAUGUCAUUUGUCAAAUGUCAUCAGUUUGUCAUUUACUAAGUGAUAUUAUAUAGAUUAUAUAUACAUACACACACACAUACAAAAAUCCCUCUCCGGGGAAAAGCUCUGUUCGUCCAAACACAUUUUCUACGGGACGCCGUUAGUCUCGAGAACCGUUAUUAAUGGUCAUUUUCAUUAUAGUUACUAAUUUAAUUAUUAAUCGGAGUUCAAAAGUGAUAGUUUAGUGUAUUUUAUGUGACUGAAUCAAUUAAUUAGCUAUCCUUUUCCCUUAUUUAAGGGUUGU